GACGAACGCUGGCGGCGUGCUUAACACAUGCAAGUCGAGCGGUAAGGCCCUUUCGGGGGUACGACGAGCGGCGAACGGGUGAGUAACACGUGGGUGACCUGCCCUCAGUUCUGGGAGUAAGCCUGGGAAACCGGGUCUAAUACUGGAUAUGACCUCAUGACGCAUGUUGUGGGGUGGAAAGCCUUGUGCGACUGAGGAUGGGCCCGCGGCCUAUCAGCUUGUUGGUGGGGUGAUGGCCUACCAAGGCGACGACGGGUAGCCGGCCUGAGAGGGCGACCGGCCACACUGGGACUGAGACACGGCCCAGACUCCUACGGGAGGCAGCAGUGGGGAAUCUUGCGCAAUGGGCGAAAGCCUGACGCAGCGACGCCGCGUGAGGGAUGACGGCCUGGUGUAAC
rnacentral:rRNA from 1 species